AUUGAACGCUGGCGGCAGGCCUAACACAUGCAAGUCGAGCGGAUGAAGGGAGCUUGCUCCUGGAUUCAGCGGCGGACGGGUGAGUAAUGCCUAGGAAUCUGCCUGGCAGUGGGGGAUAACGUCCGGAAACGGGCGCUAAUACCGCAUACGUCCUGAGGGAGAAAGUGGGGGAUCUUCGGACCUCACGCUCUCAGAUGAGCCUAGGUCGGAUUAGCUAGUUGGUGGGGUAAAGGCCUACCAAGGCGACGAUCCGUAACUGGUCUGAGAGGAUGAUCAGUCACACUGGAACUGAGACACGGUCCAGACUCCUACGGGAGGCAGCAGUGGGGAAUAUUGGACAAUGGGCGAAAGCCUGAUCCAGCCAUGCCGCGUGUGUGAAGAAGGUCUUCGGAUUGUAAAGCACUUUAAGUUGGGAGGAAGGGCAGUAAGUUAAUACCUUGCUGUUUUGACGUUACCAACAGAAUAAGCACCGGCUAACUUCGUG
rnacentral:rRNA from 1 species